rnacentral:lncRNA from 1 species
AUAGGCUUUGCUUAGCACUCACAAGCUUGGUGAGGCCUUGAGCACAGCCAGAAGGAAGUUCACAGAAAUGGGUGGAAUAAUCUUUUAAAGUCCCAGAGUUUUGUUAACCACAAAGAUAGAUUUUUAUCAAUGAAAACUUUAGGGGAGUUUCAACAUGAUCAGCAACAGAGUAGGGGACAGGAACUUGAUUUUUGUCAUAGAAGAUUUCUGCUUUCUUCACAUCUGGAAUUCAACUUCAAAACCUCCAGGAUAAUUUCAUCAAAAUUUCAGGGUUUACAGGACCCCCCUGGAGCUCUAAAUGGAUACCAGCCUGUCACAGGCCUGUUGCUGUGACGACCCAGUCUUUACAGAACAAGAAAAAGAAAUGAUAGUGAUUGGCAGACCUUCCUUGCCCUAGUAUGUAACACAAAAGGAGACAAAAUGAAGAGGAAGUCAGACUCUUAUUAUAGGUUUGAUGCUUCUUAACCUUACAGCACCUUACACCUGGGUGUGGGGGGAAGAGGAGCGGGGAGGAGGCAACAAAACAAGAGAAAAAAAGAUCAGAAGAAUAAGAAUAAAUUGCAAAGAUUUCCAUUAGAUUAUCACCAUGAAAAUCCAGAUAAAGUCAUCGUGAUGUUAAGAAUAUUCCUACAGGUCAAAUUAGAUCAGCCCCCUGGAGAGACAAUGCCUGCUAGCUUCCUCAAUUCCAUGUGUGAUAUCAGGGCUGCAACAGAAAAACACCCACAGCCUCUUGGGAGAAAAACGUUACCUCCUUCAGACUCCACUUUAAGCAUGGAUAUCCAAACCAGCUCAAACAGACAACAGCCCCUUGCAUUCUGAACACAAGCCCUGAGCCUUCUUACUU